GGGGUUUUGGCUCAGUGGCAGAGCACUUGCCUAGCAUGCAUGAGUUACUGGGUUCAAUCCUGGGAACCACA
rnacentral:tRNA from 1 species